rnacentral:rRNA from 1 species
GGACGAACGCUGGCGGCGUGCUUCAUACAUGCAAGUCGAACGAGAAUCUGGCUUCGGUCAGAGGAAAGUGGCGGACGGGUGAGUAAAAUGUAGAGAAUCUGCCCUAGAGAGUGGGACAACAGAGGGAAACUUCUGCUAAUACCGCAUAUGCGCGUAGUUGAGAUACUAUUCGUGAAAACUCCGGUGCUCUGGGAUGAGUCUGCAUCUGAUUAGCUAGUAGGCGGUGUAAUGGACCACCUAGGCGACGAUCAGUAGCUGGUUUGAGAGGAUGAUCAGCCACAAUGGGACUGAGACACGGCCCAUACUCCUACGGGAGGCAGCAGUAGGGAAUUUUGCGCAAUGGGGGAAACCCUGACGCAGCAACGCCGCGUGAUUGAAGAAGCCCUUCGGGGUGUAAAGAUCUGUCAGUGGGGACGAAACUUGACGGUACCCACAGAGGAAGCAUCGGCUAACUCCGUGCCAGCCGCCGC